AUUGGGACAAAUCUCCAAGCUCCGUGUGGCGGCAAGACUUCCUUUUACAGAGGGGUCCCCUGAGUCCCCCGCCUCACCGGGUGCAGGGCCCAAGCAGCGAGAAGGCCCCGUGCUGAGGAGGGCUGGAGGGCUGGGUUGCAGACAGGCCUGAGCCGCUCAGGCGUCCUUGGCCAAGGCCGGAAGAUCCUGAUUAACAUGAAAACGGAAGACAAUUGGGCGUCCUCGCAGGCGGCCGGCGGCCCAGGGGGGGAAGGUCAUCAGCGCUGGGCAUGCUAUGAAGGGGAUGCCUCCGAAGUGGCAUGGGUUCUGAGAGCAAAGUGUCCCUGGAGGUGACAUCCAGAGAGCAAGGGUCUCAAGAGGGAGACUUAGGUGGAAGCUUCGUGACCUUGGCUGGCCUUGCCUGGAAGUCGUUCACUGUCACUUCCACUGUUCUAUUGGUUACAACUACCUCUCCUCCAUGCCUCCUGGAAGCCAGGUGUGGCCUCAUGAACUCUACGGAGAUGUCAUGGGAAAAGCAAUGUGAUGAAUUUCUAGGAGCCUUCCUUCAAACACAGCCGACGUGGGUCCUUUGCCCCAUUUUCUACAUUCUGCUGGCCGGAAUGUGGACAUGAAAACUGGCGCUGCUGGAGCAGCCAUCUUGGACCGAGAAGUGACCUUGGAAAUGGAGACUACGCACAGCUAAGUGACAAGAUAAGAGGAACCUGGAGAGCUGAAGACAAAGUGGAACAGGGCCACCACACCAGCCCUGACUUCCUUCUUCUAGACCUCUGUGUAUGAAACAGAUAAACUAUUUUGUUCAGGCCACUGUGACUUUGGGUUAUUGUUACUUGCAACUGAAUGUCACCUUAAUCAGCACGAAGAGCAGACACCACGAGAGAAAAUCUCCGGAUGAUUGGGUCGCUAGGGACAAGGGCUGACUGGGGACUGCCAGGAUCCCCUUAAGACACGGGUCUUGAAGAAACUAAGGUCAGAAAACCUUCCUGGGUCUAGAAACACACCAGGAGAUGCCCACUGGCUGUUUUGAAGUUCCUUCCACAAUCCACAGGGUUGUUUAAGAUGUGGCAGACUGGGGCGCCUGGGUGGCUCAGUCAGUUAAGUGUCUGACCUCGGCUCAGGUC